GGCUCAGGACGAACGCUGGCGGCGUGCCUAAUACAUGCAAGUAGAACGCUGAAGAGAGGAGCUUGCUCUUCUUGGAUGAGUUGCGAACGGGUGAGUAACGCGUAGGUAACCUGCCUUGUAGCGGGGGAUAACUAUUGGAAACGAUAGCUAAUACCGCAUAACAAUGGAUGACACAUGUCAUUUAUUUGAAAGGGGCAAUUGCUCCACUACAAGAUGGACCUGCGUUGUAUUAGCUAGUAGGUGAGGUAAUGGCUCACCUAGGCGACGAUACAUAGCCGACCUGAGAGGGUGAUCGGCCACACUGGGACUGAGACACGGCCCAGACUCCUACGGGAGGCAGCAGUAGGGAAUCUUCGGCAAUGGGGGCAACCCUGACCGAGCAACGCCGCGUGAGUGAAGAAGGUUUUCGGAUCGUAAAGCUCUGUUGUAAGUCAAGAACGGGUGUGAGAGUGGAAAGUUCACACUGUGACGGUAGCUUACCAGAAAGGGACGGCUAACUACGUGCCAGCAGCCGCGGUAAUACGUAGGUCCCGAGCGUUGUCCGGAUUUAUUGGGCGUAAAGCGAGCGCAGGCGGUUUGAUAAGUCUGAAGUUAAAGGCUGUGGCUCAACCAUAGUUCGCUUUGGAAACUGUCAAACUUGAGUGCAGAAGGGGAGAGUGGAAUUCCAUGUGUAGCGGUGAAAUGCGUAGAUAUAUGGAGGAACACCGGUGGCGAAAGCGGCUCUCUGGUCUGUAACUGACGCUGAGGCUCGAAAGCGUGGGGAGCGAACAGGAUUAGAUACCCUGGUAGUCCACGCCGUAAACGAUGAGUGCUAGGUGUUGGAUCCUUUCCGGGAUUCAGUGCCGCAGCUAACGCAUUAAGCACUCCGCCUGGGGAGUACGACCGCAAGGUUGAAACUCAAAGGAAUUGACGGGGGCCCGCACAAGCGGUGGAGCAUGUGGUUUAAUUCGAAGCAACGCGAAGAACCUUACCAGGUCUUGACAUCCCGAUGCUAUUUCUAGAGAUAGAAAGUUACUUCGGUACAUCGGUGACAGGUGGUGCAUGGUUGUCGUCAGCUCGUGUCGUGAGAUGUUGGGUUAAGUCCCGCAACGAGCGCAACCCCUAUUGUUAGUUGCCAUCAUUCAGUUGGGCACUCUAGCGAGACUGCCGGUAAUAAACCGGAGGAAGGUGGGGAUGACGUCAAAUCAUCAUGCCCCUUAUGACCUGGGCUACACACGUGCUACAAUGGUUGGUACAACGAGUUGCGAGUCGGUGACGGCGAGCUAAUCUCUUAAAGCCAAUCUCAGUUCGGAUUGUAGGCUGCAACUCGCCUACAUGAAGUCGGAAUCGCUAGUAAUCGCGGAUCAGCACGCCGCGGUGAAUACGUUCCCGGGCCUUGUACACACCGCCCGUCACACCACGAGAGUUUGUAACACCCGAAGUCGGUGAGGUAACCUUUUGGAGCCAGCCGCCUAAGGUGGGACAGAUGAU
rnacentral:rRNA from 1 species